rnacentral:rRNA from 1 species
UCCGUAGGGUGCAAGCGUUACUCGGAAUUACUGGGCGUACAGCGUGCGCAGGCGGUGAUGUAAGUCAGGUGUGAAAUCCCCGGGCUUAACCUGGGAACUGCAUUUGUGACUGCAUCGCUGGAGUGCGGCAGAGGGGGAUGGAAUUCCGCGUGUAGCAGUGAAAUGCGUAGAUAUGCGGAGGAACACCGAUGGCGAAGGCAAUCCCCUGGACCUGUACUGACGCUCAUGCACGAAAGCGUGGGGAGCAAACAGG